CAAUUCUCCUACCAAGGAGCUCCAGGGCGUAGUUGUGACAAUUAACAUGGCAGAAAUGGAGCCAGGGAAGGGAGGGACUUCAGCAAAAACAUCUGCUGGGAAAAUUAAUGAAAUGAAUCAGAGAUUUAGUGAGCCCAGCUCAGACUUGUCUCUACCUCCAUGUCAGUAUUCCCUGGAGCCUGGAGUCUUUGCUUUACAUGGAUGAGCUGCUUGUUUCAGAGACUGCUACCUCAGGUCAAGACUGGGAGACUGCUGGAGAGAGCAAAGCAGCCUUUUAGAAUUUGCUGAAAACCAGAAAACCACUGAGCUGAUUGAAAUCAAAAGGAGAAGCAAGGACACAGUGUCUUCUCUUUCUUCCUCUGCUCUACCAAAUUGCUUUGAGCUGUC
ensembl:lncRNA